AUUGAACGCUGGCGGCAGGCCUAACACAUGCCAGUCGAACGGUAACAGGAAGCAGCUUGCUGCUUCGCUGACGAGUGGCGGACGGGUGAGUAAUGUCUGGGAAACUGCCUGAUGGAGGGGGAUAACUACUGGAAACGGUAGCUAAUACCGCAUAACGUCGCAAGACCAAAGAGGGGGACCUUAGGGCCUCUCGCCAUCGGAUGUGCCCAGAUGGGAUUAGCUAGUAGGUGGGGUAACGGCUCACCCAGGCGACGAUCCCUAGCUGGUCUGAGAGGAUGACCAGCCACACUGGAACUGAGACACGGUCCAGACUCCUACGGGAGGCAGCAGUGGGGAAUAUUGCACAAUGGGCGCAAGCCUGAUGCAGCCAUGCCGCGUGUAUGAAGAAGGCCUUCGGGUUGUAAAGUACUUUCAGCGGGGAGGAAGGGAGUAAAGUUAAUACCUUUGCUCAUUGACGUUACCCGCAGAAGAAGCACCGGCUAACUCCGUG
rnacentral:rRNA from 1 species